rnacentral:lncRNA from 1 species
AAGUGACCACCUUUAGGGACCUCAUGGUUUAUAAUCCAUGGUAGUUGGUGGCACAAACAUCUUUACAGUUGAAAGACAUCACUUUGUCUUCAUAACCUUUCCUUAUUUGAAUAGAAGAAGAGCUCUUUUCGGGUCCAGAUGGAAACAAGCAGGUAGGUCGGCCGGCCCAAAGUCCUAGUCGCCGAAGGCCACCAAAACAUCGCUUCACAGACCUAUCCACUCCACCUCUAGCAGAAGUUCAAAGCAUAUCUCAAGAAAAUACAACACUACACAGAACACUUAACAGCUCCUAAAAUAACAACCUCCAUGCAAGGAAGAACUGAUAGCAAAUUUUCUUCCCAUGAAGGUACAACAAACCUAACAAGAUAAACUAGAUUUAAGAGGAGAACAAGUAUAAUUCCCUGUAUGAAGUGAGAGAUUGUUAUAAUAGACAGAAAGUACCUAAAAAGGAUCUCACAGGUCAGGUUAUCCACUUCGAAGUUCACUUAGCAAAGAUCUCUCCACGACAAUCACCAUAGCAAGGAGAGAACCAACUUUGUGUAAAAUCUCUAGUGGAGGGAAAAAAAAUACAUCUCAUGAGGCAACUCAUCUAGAGAACUCUGAUUCUUAUAGAACCUGCAUAUCACUCCUAGAGAGAAAUAUCCUUUUUAAUGAUAUUUAUACUCUCACCACCCUCCUGAUUACAUACCUUUUAACACUAUAAUCAUUUAUGUAGAAGAUGUAUCCUCUCCUCCAUUUAUACCUUCAAAAGAUCAAGUAGUGGGUGAGUUAAGGGAAGUGACGGUCCAAUACAAAACAUGUGUUGAGAGAGGAAGAGGUAGACGACCUAUAUUAAAACCUAACCCUAGACCUCCUUGAGAUUAGUGGGAGCCAAAUCUUAAAAAAAGAAACCUCAUUGUUGGUCUCUAAAGAGAAUUUAUGGACCAAUCUCAUAUAGGUAAGGGAAGGCAACUUCAGGACCAAGCAAGCAAAAGCCUUCCAAAGGAAAAUCUUAGUCUAUUGGGGAAGGGUCUACCUUAAGAAGUGACACUUCUUCCUAAGCUGGUACAAACAAACUUAAAAUAUAUGUAGUUCCUGCAAUAUAGUUCCAACUCCUUAAGAAUAGUGAGCUGGAACUGUUGUGGUUUGGGGGACUCCAUGAAAGUCUAGAGAUUCAAUAAAUUUAUAAGAACUUUUUCCGUGACUUACUGUUUUUCUUGAGAGGCUUUAGUGGAUGAAAUAUGCCUCUAAUCAUCUAGUUCCUCCUCUUUCACCAGGAGCUACAGGUUUGGCCCUUUUUUUUUUUUCUAGAAACAUCAUAUUGUAGAGGAAAUUAUCAAGUCCUGCAAAAACUUUAUUGAUAAGAGUAAAAGAAAACGGUAGAAAUGUUUUCUCCACCUUCUGAUAUGGGGACCCUGAAAAGGCAAAAAUAAUUUAGGCAAAGCAAAAAAAAACAGCUAAUACGUUAUAAACUUUUAAUUAUUUCACUUGUAUUCGCCAUAAAUUGCAAUUACUUUUUCCUAAAAUUAAGCCUCGAUUUAAUCAUCUUCGGCCGUUACUUUAUAUAUAUAAAAAUUCAAGUAGAGCCAAAAGUAACCUAAUUUAAUAUAUAUAUAUAUAUAUAUAUUGUAAUCAAGUAGCUAUUGUAACGUCUAAGAGAAGUGUUGAAUUCUAAACAAGUUGGGUAUUAGAUUUGGAAUAGUAAAUAGACUAGAUUUGUUUACUAGGAAAUUAUAAAAGAUCAUAUAUCAACAUAUCAAAAUCCAUUAAAAAUUAGUCAUGACGAUAAAUUUAGGAGAAAUAUGGCCAUAUGAAUUACCUUUUCUUGUAGUAGUAAAAAAUGACAAAAAUACAAAUAAUUUACAAAUACAAUUUCAAUUGUUGUAAUUAAAAUCAAUGACGAAUAAAUUAGAAAUCAUGACUUACUCUCUGCCUCAACGAUCGCAUUUUUGUCUGUACAUUGGUAGAUCUCUCCUAAAAGAAGUUAUUUUAAAAUUGCUUCGCAUACUCUAUCGUAGUGUAUGAUCAAGUGACUACCUUUAGGGACCUCAUGGUUUCUAAUACAUGGUAGUUGGUGGCACAAAUAUCCUUACAACUGAAACGACAUCACUUUGUCUUCAUAACCUUUCCAUAUUUGGAUAGAAGAAGAGCUCUUUUCGGGUCCAGAUGGAAACAAGUCAGGUAGGUCGGCCGGCUCAAAGUCCCAGUCGCCGAAGGCCACCAGAAAACCGCUUCUCACCAUCGCAAAGUAAGACAACAACUUAUAGAAUUAAUGAAAUAUAUCAAAAAAACUUUGAGAAUAUAGUAAUAUCUUACCAGACCUAGCCACUCCACCUCUCGCAGAAGUUCAAAGGAAAUCAUAAGAAACUACAACACUCCACAUAACACUUCACAACUCCUAAAAUAACCUCCUCCUUGCAAGGAAGAACUGUUAGCAAAUUUUCUUCCCAUGAAGUUACAACAAACCUGGAAAGGAAACUGGAUUUAAUAGGAGGAUAAGUAAAAUUCCCUGUAUGAAGCUAGAGAUUGUUAUAAUAGACGGGAAGUACCUAAAAUGGAUCUCACAGGUCAGGUUAUCCACCUCGGAGUUCACUUAGCAAAGAAAUCUCCACCCACAGUCACCAUAGCAAGGAGAGAACCAAAUUUGUGUAGAAUCUCUAGUGGAGGGAAAAAACUCCAUCUCAUGAGGCAACUCAUCUAGAGAACUCUGAUUCUUAUAGAACGUGCAUACCUCUCCUAGAGAGAAAUAUCCUUUUUAAUGAUAUUUAUACUCUCACCAGCCUCCUGAUUACAUACCUUUUAACACUAUAAUCAUUUAUGUAGAAGAUUUAUCCUCUCCUCCAUUUAUACCUUCAAAAGAUCAAGUAGUGGGUGAGUUAAGGGAAGUGACGGUCCAAUACAAAACAUGUGUUGAGAGAGGAAGAGGUAGACGCCCUAUAUUAAAACCUAACCCCUAGACCUCCUUGAGAUUAGUGGGAGCCAAAUCUUUAAAAAAAAGAAACCUCAUUGUUGGUCUCUAAAGAGAAUUUAUGGACCAAUAUCAUAUAGGUAAGGGAAGGCAACUUCAGGACCAAGCAAGCAAAAGCCUUCCAAAGGAAAAUCUUAGUCUAUUGGGGAAUAGUCUACCUUAAGAAGUGACACUUCUUCCUAAGCUGCUACAGACAAACAUAAAAUACCUUUAGUUACUGCAAUCUAGUUCCAACUCCUUAAGAAUAGUGCGCUGGAACUGUUGUGGUUUGGGGGACUCCAUAAAAGUUUAGAGAUUAAAUAAAUUCACAAGAAUUUUUUCCCUGACUUACUGUUUUUCUUGAGAGGCUUUAGUGGAUGAAAUAUGCCUCUAAUCAUCUAGUUCCUCCUCUUUCACCAGGAGCUACAGGUUUGGCCCUUUUUUUCUAGAAACAUCAUAUUGAAGAGGAAAUUAUCAAAUCCUGCAAAAACUUUAUUGAUAAGAGUAAAAGCAAAAGGUAGAAAUGUUUUCUCCACCUUCCAAUAUGGGGACCCUGAAAAGGCAAAAAUAAUUUAGACAAAGCCAAAAAAACAGCUAAUACGUUAUAAACUUUUAAUUAUUUCACUUGUAUUCGCCAUAAAUUGCAAUUGAUUUUUCCUAAAAUUAAGCCUCGAUUUAAUCAUCUUCGGCCGUUACUUUAUAUAUAUAAAAAAAUUCAAGUAGAGCCAAAGUGACCUAAUUCAAAAUAUAUUGUAAUCAAGUAGCUAUUGUAACGUCUAAGAGAAGCGUUGAAUUUCUAAACAAGUUGGGUAUUAGGUUUGGAAUAGUAAAUAUACUAGAUUUUUUUACUAGGAAAUUAUAAAAGAUCAUAUAUCAACAUAUCAAAAUCCAUUAAAAAUUAGUCAUGACGAUAAAUUUAGGAGAAAUAUGGCCAUAUGAAUUACCUUUUCUUGUAGUGGUAAAAAAUGACGAAAAUACAAAUAAUUUACAAAUACAAUUUCAAUUGUUGUAAUAAAAAUCAAUGAAUCAAGAAACAAUGACGAAUAAGUUAGAAAUCAUGACUUAUUCUCUAUCUGAACAAUCGCAUUUUGUUGUCUGUACAUUGGUAGAUCUCUCCUAAAAGAAGUUAUUUUAAAAUUGCUUCGCAUACUCUAUCGUAGUGUAUGAUCAAGUCACUACCUUUAGGGACCUCAUGGUUUCUAAUACAUGGUAGUUGGUGGCACAAAUAUCCUUACAACUGAAACGACAUCACUCUGUCUUCAUAACCUUUCCAUAUUUGAAUAGAAGAAGAGCCCUUUUCGGGUCCAGAUGGAAACAAGUCAGGUAGGUCGGCCGGCUCAAAGUCCCAGUCGCCGAAGGCCACCAAAAACCGCUUCUCACCAUCUCAAAGUAAGACAACAAUUUAUAGAAUUGAUGAAAUAUAUCAAAAAAGCUUUAAGAAUAUAGUAAUAUCUUACCAGACCUAGCCACUCCACCUCUCGCAGAAGUUCAAAGGAAAUCUCAAGAAACUACAACACUCCACAUAACACUUCACAACUCCUAAAAUAACCUCCCCCUUGCAAGGAAGAACUGUCAGCAAAUUUUCUUACCAUGAAGUUACAACAAACCUAGAAAGGAAACUGGAUUUAAGAGGAGGACAAGUAUAAUUCCCUGUAUGAAGUGAGAGAUUGUUAUAAUAGAUGGGAAGUACCUAAAAAGGAUCCCACAGGUCAGGUUAUCCACCUCGGAGUUUGCUUAGCAAAGAACUCUCCACCCACAGUCACCAUAGCAAGAGAGAACCAACUUUGUGUACGUAGAAUCUCUAGUGGAGAGAAGAAACUCCAUCUCAUGAGGAAACUCAUCUAGAGAACUCUGAUUCUUAUAGAACAUGCAUACUUCUCCUACAGAGAAAUAUCUUUUUAAUGAUAUUUCUACUCUCACCAGCCUCUUGAUUACAUACCUUUUAACACUAUAAUCAUUUAUGUAGAAGGUGUAUCCUCUCCUCCAUUUAUACCUUCAAAAGAUCAAGUAAUGGGUGAGUUAAGGGAAGUGACGGUCCAAUACAAAACAUGUGUUGAUCCCACAGAAAGUGGAGCAAGAAGGUAAGGAGUAAUCUAAGAGGAUGCAAACAAUCUUAUGUCUCAUAUGGCUAACCUGAUAAUUAUUGAUGCGGCAACAGAUUCGACCCCAAAUCUUUCUCCAUUUGAACUCCUCCAUGCUGGAAAACCAAACUCCCCUAGGCAUAACCCUCAAUGAUGUCUUCCCCUCUCAGGUAGUAGCUAAAGUUGUUAAGAGAGGAAGAUGUAGUUCGCCUCUAUCAAAACCUAACCCAUAGACCUCCCUGAGAUUAGUGGGAGCAAAGUCUCAGAACAGAAACCUCAUUGUUGGUCUCUACAGAAAAUUUAUGGACCAACCCAUCUAGGUAAGGGAAGGCAACCGAGCAAGCAAAAGCCUUCCAAAGGAAAAUCUUAGUCAAUUGGGGAAUGGCCUACCUGAAGAGCUUGCACUUCUUCCCAUGCUGCUACAAACAAACCUAACAUAUCUUUAAUUCCUGCAAUAUAGUUCCAACUCCUUAAAAAUAGUGAGUUUGAACUGUUGUGGUUGGGGACCUCCAUGACAGUUCAGAGAUUGAAAGAUAUUCACAAGAAGAUUUUCCCUGACUUACUAUUCUUUAUAGAGACAAAUAAUACAUAAUUUUUUUCUUGAGAAGCUUUAGAGGAUGAGAUAUGCAUCUAAUCAUCUGGUUAUUCCUCUUUCACCAGGAGCUCUCUUGCAUGUUUGGCCCUUUGUAGAAACAUCAUAUUGAAGAGGAAGUUAUCAACUCCAUCAAAAGAUUUUUUUUCUCCACAUUCCUAUAUGGGAAACUUGAAAGGCAAAAAAAAAAUCAGGUAAAGCAAAAAAAAAUUCAGCUAAUACGUUAUAUACUUUUAAAUAUUUCACUUGUAUUCGCCAUAAAUUGCAAUUACUUUUUCCCCAAAUUAAGCCUCGAUUUACUCAUCUUCGGCCGUUACUUUAUAUAUAAAAAAUCAAGUAAAGCCAAAAGUGACCUAAUUCAAAAAAAAUAUUAUUACUUUAUGUCUAAAAGAAGCAUUAAAUUUCUAAAUAAGUUGGGUAUUAGGUUUGAAAUACAAUUACAGAAAAUUAUAAAAGAUCAUAAAUCAACAUAUUAAAAUCCAUUAAAGAUUAGUCAUGACGAUAAAUUUAGGACAAAUAUGGCCAUAUGAAUUACCUUUUCUUUUAGUGGAUAAAAAUGACAAAAAUACAAAUAUUUUACAAAUAAAAUUUCAAUUGUUGUCAAUCAAAAUCAAUGAAUCAAGCAACAAGGACAAAUAAAUUAGAAGUCAUGACUUAGUCCCUGUCUCAACGAUCACAUUUUUUGGUCUGUACAUUGGUAGAUCUUCUCCUAAAAGAAGUGAUUUUAAAAUCGCGUCGCAAACUCCAUCGUAGUGCACAAUCAGGUGACCUCCUUUUGGGACCUCAUGAUACCUAAUCCAUGGUAAUUGGCGGCACAAACAUCUUUGCAGCUGAAACGGCAUCACUUUGUCUUCAUAACCUU